rnacentral:lncRNA from 1 species
ACAUCUUAGUCCUUACCGAUUAUGCUGUUUAAAUGAGUGUAGAUAAGUCAAAGUUAUUAAGUAAGUCAUGGUACUGUUCUCCAUCAGAAAAUACAAUGACGAGGUACGUUGUGAUGUUGUGCCUAUACAUACUAACUAUUUGAUACUUAGUAGAUUGGUAGUUUCAUAAACAAGUACAACAUAAAGGUCAUACCAAUUGAAAUUCAGUAUGAAAGGAUGGUUUGCAACACAUCC